UACGUAGGGUGCGAGCGUUAAUCGGAAUUACUGGGCGUAAAGCGUGCGCAGGCGGUGAGCUGUGUCCGAUGUGAAAGCCCCGGGCUUAACCUGGGAAUGGCAUUGGAAACUGGCUCGCUGGAGUGUGGCAGAGGGGGGUGGAAUUCCGCGUGUAGCAGUGAAAUGCGUAGAGAUCGGGAGGAACACCAGUGGCGAAGGCGGCUACCUGGACCAGCACUGACACUGAGGCACGAAAGCGUGGGGAGCAAACAGGG
rnacentral:rRNA from 1 species